AUUGAACGCUAGCGGGAGGCUUUACACAUGCAAGUCGAACGAGUGGCGGACGGGUGAGUAAUAUAUCGGAACGUGCCCAGUAGCGGGGGAUAACUACUGGAAAGAGUGGCUAAUACCGCAUACUAUGGGAGCGGCCGAGAUAGGAUUAGCUAGUGGGUGGGGUAAAGGCUCACCAAGGCAACGAUCCGUAGCCGGUCUGAGAGGACGACCAGCCACACUGGGACUGAGACACGGCCCAGACUCCGACGGGAGGCAGCAGUGGGGAAUUUUGGACAAUGGGCGAAAGCCUGAUCCAGCCAUCCCGCGUGUAUGAGAAGGCCUUCGGGUUGUAAAGUACUUUUGGCAGAGAAGCGUUACCUGCAGAAUAAGCACCGGCUAACUACGUGCCAGCAGCCGCGGUAAUUC
rnacentral:rRNA from 1 species